UGUAGUUACAGAUACCACCUCG
rnacentral:siRNA from 1 species